GGGAGAGUAGUUAGUGAAAUUCAGCAGUUCUAUAAAAGUGUAAAGUUAUCAGAUCCGGAUGUAGAGGGAGCUCCCAAAUAAGCGGCGUUGUUGUUUUUAAUUACCGUCCACUGGGACCUUUGAUUGGGGUUGCUGUAUGGUCGGGAUGACUCCCUAAGGAUUGGCCCUCAAACUCCCUGACCCUGUAACUUUGCUGUGAGAUCGCCAAGAUGAUAGAGGAGUAUAAGCCAAUUUGGGGGGAACCUUUACACAGCAUCCAGUCAAAGUUAUCAUCUGCCUUUUCUCUCAUGCUUUUUCUCUCAGGACUGCAACAUGACUCCGCAUGGAGAGAGAUCCUGUAAACUUCUCUCAUGCUGCUGGUGUACUGUUAGCUAAAUGGACAUGACAUAAUGGACUGUAAAGGACAGUGGCGGCUCAGGUGCAAAGCAUUAUCAAGUGCCAUCCACUUUGAACAUGUGCCAU